rnacentral:lncRNA from 1 species
GACAAAAUCUCCCACAAAAAGUAUCAAGCCUUGCAAAGAGCAACAGUCCUUUACUACUGAAAGAACCUGACCCUAUCCAGCUGCUAGUUCUGAGGCAGUACAGUACAUGUAUAAUUCUUCGCUGAUAACGAGUCAAGCCUUUGUUAGGUAAACAUCUCUACGAUGAUCAACAUGCGAUAGGGUGCAAGUCAUCUAAAACUUCUCUUGAUCCCGAUAACUCAACAAGAGUAAGCAGUGCUUCAGUUUAAUUUAACCAAGUACAUACCAGCCAGAGACACUGCUGUUAAUUCUCCAAGGCCAAUAAUGUAUGAAUACCUAAGAAAAAGCACAAUGCAAAAGAUUGGAACUAGGACACAUACAACAUUUACUGGAGAUUAGCAUGCUACAAUACCUCAGGGAAGUUAUAUUGACGUAUUUGUCCAGAGACAACAAUACAACAAAGUCUUAAGAAAAGGAACACACCAAAAUAUUAAAAAUCGGACGAAUGGCUGAGACUAGCAUGCUAUACUAUAACAGAAUAGCAAAAAUAAGAAUCUGGAGAACCAUUAGGCAAUAAAUUCGAGAUUACAUGUUGCCAUUAGGCAAUAAAUUUAGAUAUGCUCUAUUGUCACAUUGAAGCACAAGUUUGUAACAUAAAAACAACCUGCAUAAUUUGACAUAUUAACUAGACUUCCAGAUCACAUUUUUGUUUGAUAGCUAUUACAGCUUUGACAAAAAUAAGACACCGAACAAAGGAUGCAAAAGAAACAUAUAGUAGCAAAAGCCAAAAAAGUUGAAAUGUGGAUUUUCAUAGUACAUAAACCAGUAUAACUACAUAUCAUAAAUAUAACCAAAGAUUCUAACCGUUAGAAAUAUCUUGACUUCAGUCUGACUGUGGGCAAAAUAUGUUUCAGGAAGGCUGAAAUUGGUGUCAUCUGACAGCGGACAAAAUACAUUUUGGGAAGGGAGAAAUUGGCCUACAAGAAGUCAGCAAGUCUCAUUUCUCUUUCAUUACAUGAAGGCUGGCAAAGGUUGAAUUCUCCCUAGCAAAGUAACUCCUAGAAUUAUAUUUCCUUUUCCAAUUUGUUCAACAUAUCCUUACUAAUGUAAUCAAACUAGCACACUGCAGAUGCCAAACUCUGGAAGGUAACACAUACUAAAACAGCAAUUUCCAAGAACCUUGUUAAUCCACUUCUUUUGCACCAGACACUCCGCAAAUGGAGCUAACACCCCAAGUAUUUUUUAUUGAUAAGAACAAUUUAUGAUCGAUACAACACAGCCUCUGGACAGCAACACCUACUAAAAUAGCGAUUUCCGAGAACACUGCUAAUCCACUUCUUUUGCACCAAACACCCAGUAAAUGGAGCAAACAAUCAAGUACUUUUGAUUGAUAGGAACAUUUUAUGCACCGAACACUCAAUAUGACCCAACCUAAAAAAUGAGAGGAUCACACCCUCUGUAAACUUAUGAUCCAGACAUCUGUAACGCACAGAGCACAAUAAUAAUAUUCAUUGACAAUAAUGGAAAAUGCAUCCCAUCAAGUCUCAUCAUUAUUACUGGCGUACACAUCUAACUGUACAUUUAUUAAAUUUCAGAUAACAAUCUUCACAUUGCUAGAACCGAACACUUCUCAAUCCUUAGCUCCUCAACUACUGAUCAUCUGAAAUAUGUAAUUUUCAGAUCGAUAGGGAUUUUCUUAGUAGAAACAAGACGUCAAGAAAUCUAGUUGUGUCUCAUGCAAUCAGCUAAAGAUAAGAAUAAUAAUGAAAAAAUAGAAUAAAUUAGAAUAAAAGAUCUCACAAAUUCAUCAUGAGAAAAGCACAUCCAUCAGUGCACUUUGCUGCAUUGGAACUCGUCCGACUGCACAGAAUGAAGCAACCUCCUUAUAGACCAAAUUCAUAUCACAUUCCCUGGUAUUAGUCCAUUACUAAGAUCAAGUGGUGCCUGGAAACAGUGGAAAUAUGUCUUUCUAUAGUUGCAAGGAAUAUCUUAUAAGCUUGUUUGACGACUACUAAUCCCUUUCAAAAUUGCCCCCUAAUAAUGACAAUGUUGUUCAAUCAUCCAUAUAUGUGUAUAUCAACAAGCUGCACAACCAUGCAACAACAUCCUUUCACAUUUUCAAGCGUCCAGCUUAUGCAUCAUGGCACUUCUAACAAAUAUUAAUGUGCGUCAAUUAUAGGCAAUAAUAGAUUGCCAAAAGAAAUAUGAACUAAUAACAGCAUAUUAAAAUUUCAUCAUGUCAGCAUACAGAGAAUCUAGGUUUUAUGAGGCACCUAACACUAUAUUGAUCAUCCAAAUUGGAUACAGAGUCCAAAAAAGUUAUUAUCGAUUUACAAUUCAGUCCUUGAAAUUUACAAUCAUUUCUUCAUUACAUUGCAAACCAGUCCCUAGCAGUCUUAAUGGGCAGGACCUUAGGCUGCCAUGUGGAACUUGGUCUCACAGGCCGGACCACAUGGAGUUGGCCUGUCUGAGCUGAAGUGCAUGAAGUUUAGACCACCCUCGUACUCAAAUGCUUAAAUUGGUAAAGGACAACUUGCAUAUUCCAGUGCUUAAAUUGAGAACAAAACAUUGUCAAUACGGAAAGUGUGGUUUCCUUCAUAAAUCUAAGAGUUACAACUUCAUACUCAAGAAGACAGUCAGCUGCAACCUAUCAUGGUGGCAACCUGGUAUUCAUUAAGGUUUUGCAUUUAUAAAGAGAGAAAUUUCAACUGAAUUGACCGAUCAGCAUGAGGAAAAAAGUGGUUCAAACUAAUCACUUAAGAAAGAGAACAAAGUUUGAUAAACAAAAUAUACAAAAAAUUGAAACCCAACCUCAUCUCCCUUUUUCGGGUUUUGGGUUUGGUUUUGAAUAGGAGGGACUUUAGUAAAUUUAUAUAAAAGGUGACCAACCCUUGCGCUAAAUCAAAAGCCUCAUCAUCCAGCUCAAAAUCACCAAAGCAUCCUACCAUACCAUCCAAAAGAAUCCUACUUCUUAUCAUUUGAUAAAAUAACCAAAACUCGAAACCUAAAUUACCAAUUAUCCAUAGUUAAAUCAAUUCAAAACUUCAGGUGUCCAAUAACCUACAUAAGUCUGAUAUCUUCCAGUAGACUUAAAACGAAUGGGACAAGAAUAACAAUUCCAUGUGGAGUCUACACAAGUGAUUAUCAACAAGCAAUUAACUCUAUCGGCAAUAUCAUCACAAAUCUUCUCAACAUUCUUCAUUUUCUUACUACAUGUAAGCAUCCAAACUCAUCUUACAUUCACAGAAAACAAAGUAAAUGGCAAGAAUUAUUUGGUUGCAAACUGUAUAUCAUGUUAUGCAGAUAGUUGAAAAUUGGAACCUGGAAACAUAACUUGCUGGUACAAAAGCUUGUGCUAUGCAUUAUGCAUUUCCACGAUCAAAGUGCAUUUCUGUCUUUGGGGGCUACAUUAUACAACUCAAUGAGUUCUGGAUACUCCUUGUAGCAGUUGACGAACUUCUCCAGAAAUUGUUUCUCUGGAUAUUUCAUGUAUGAAAAUAUACUAAGGUUACUGAUGCAAACUCCCCUAGACUUCAGACCUGUCACAAUCCGAUGCCUUGGCAUCAACCUUUUCUCCAAACUCAACAACAAUAAAUCUGGCCGAAAUGCAAGAUAAGAUGGAGUACAUCCGGCUUCAUUUACCAAGAACUCCAUCUUCCUCUGCAAACUCUUUAAAGAAAAUCGCACAAACGUAGGAGCCUUUCUGAAUGCAGCAAGGAAAUCAUCCUCGGACCACCCGAAGCCCUUGAAGAACUCCAAGUGAGCCUUGAAGUUAUUCUCGGAGACGCUCUGGAGCACACUCAGGAUCACGAGGAACAUCCCCGAGGUGCGAGGUACUCCCAAAACCUCGACACGGCUGAUUAACGCCUUCAGGGUUUCAGCAUUCCGGGUUAUGAGGAGGGGAUAUUGCCGUAGGAUCAUUGAGAGCUUCUGAUCCGUCAUCCCGCAAUCCCUUAGAAUUUCAAUGUUAGGCUGGAUCGUCUUCUCGAUGCUAUACCCGAGUAACCACCUGUUUCUCUUCCAUAUCUUCAUCAGUAAGUCGUUGGACCCGAGGAGGCCUUGCCAUAAUUGGAUCUUCGACAAGAUGGUCUGGGAAUUGUCGCUGAUGACGUCGUUANNNNNNNNNNNNNNNNNNNNNNNNNNNNNNNNNNNNNNNNNNNNNNNNNNNNNNNNNNNNNNNNNNNNNNNNNNNNNNNNNNNNNNNNNNNNNNNNNNNNNNNNNNNNNNNNNNNNNNNNNNNNNNNNNNNNNNNNNNNNNNNNNNNNNNNNNNNNNNNNNNNNNNNNNNNNNNNNNNNNNNNNNNNNNNNNNNNNNNNNNNNNNNNNNNNNNNNNNNNNNNNNNNNNNNNNNNNNNNNNNNNNNNNNNNNNNNNNNNNNNNNNNNNNNNNNNNNNNNNNNNNNNNNNNNNNNNNNNNNNNNNNNNNNNNNNNNNNNNCGGCGGAAUAAGAAUGGGUUGCGAGAAAAAGGGCAGCAUCGGCCGGACGACAGCAAGGGACGAAGGCAAGGGCUUUGGACAAGAGAGAGACGUAGGGCGACCUAUUCAUCAAUGUCAUCGUCUUCUUCUUCUUCUUCUUCUUCUUCUUUGUAGGUUCCUUCUCUUUACCAAAACCUAGCGAAGGUGGCGUAGCUGCGUAUAGAGGAGCGCGUUUAGGCCGGAAGUACCUGCGUCUUAAACCCUAGAAGUGCGUUACCGUGUUCGACAUUUUUUUUUCGGGCGGAGAUUACUGCGACCGCAGGCAUCUUUUUUUUCUUCGUCAACUUUUAGUUUGUUGAGGGGAGAAAAAACUUUUAUUGCGUGCCAACUAAAGAUAAUAAAAGGUGUUCUUUUAGAAAAAAGUUGCACUAUUAUUUUUUUAUCUUGGGUGUAUUUUUUAUAGUUAGAACAAAAAUAUACCCUUAAUCUUCUAUUAAAAAUGACUUGAUCAGCUAUUAAAAAAUUGAUAAUUAAUUAUCAAACAAAUUUUAAAAAAUAUAAAAAGCUAUACUAAUCAUUUUAAAAUCAAUAGAUAUGUAUCGAAGAUGAUUAAUAUCUAUUUUUUAUUUUAAAAACUUUAUAAUUAAUUAUCAAAUUAUAAUUUAUUUAAAUAAUAUAUAUGAUUAAGUCACAUAAGUUAAAAAUAUAAGAGUGUUUUUUGUCUAUAUAAAAAAUACCUAAGUAAAAAUGAAUAUGGAGGAUUUCAUCGAUAAAAAAAACUAAUACUAAAAAUUAUUUUUUUUAUAAAAGACCCAACAUAAAUGAAUGAAUGUUAUAAAAUAACUUAUUCGUCAUAAAAUUUGAUGGAUUAAUACAUAUGCUACUCUAAUUAUCAAGUUAAAGUUAAUAAUAAAAAAUUCAUGUAAUCUUUAAUGUCAUCGUAACCAUCAACUAUUUAUGAUGUGAAUGGAAAACCUACUCAUUAUUCACUUAAAAAUCUAUUCAAUAGAUUUUCACCGUAUAGGGAACCAAUAGAGACUCACAAACACGUCGACUAUCUUGCUACUGAGAAUUAAUACAAACAUAUGCUAACUAUGAAACAAAGCCCAAGGCAACUUCUAUCUAGAAAUUAAUAAUCAUUAGAUGAUCAUAUUCAUACUAAAAAUAGAAAGUCAUUCAUCUCAUUAAGAAGGUGCACCUUGAUAAUUACUUUUGAUUUAGAAUCGAUUAUAUUUGAUUUAACAUAUUGACAAGCAUUGUAAUUGUUAUGAAUAUCCUUCUACGGAAUCAAAUAGUUUGCAUAAUAUAUCUCACAUUUAUAAAGGCUUCUUCUCAUAUUUAUUAUUUUUCAAUAUCGAAGAAUUAUUCUGUCAGCUUAAGGGAUUUAUACUUGAUCUAGCAGGCUCUUUAUGCAAAGUAACUCAAAAUCUCUUUUCAAUUUGUAUCUCAAAAUUGUUAUAAUACCUGACUGUUUUUAAUGGUUCUUUAUAAUUGAAUAAGAUAUAUAAUAAAAUUAAUUAGAUUUUGAUAACGGAUAUUAGUUAAUAGAAAGAAGUAUCAAAAUAGGGCCAAGUGGGAAAAUAUCUUAUUAAUUAAUGAGUUAAGUGAGAGAAUAUCAAAAUAUAUGACCCUUUAUAAUUAAAUAAGAUAUCUAAUAAAACCGAUUGAAUUCUGAUAACGGAUAUUAGCUAAUAGAAAGGAAGUUGAUAUUAUAAUAUGAUUCCUUAUGGUACGCACUUGAUGAGAGGACUCUCAUAAUUACUUAUCAUAUACCCUCUAAUCUCGCAUAUAAAUAGAUAGAACCUCCUAGGUCUAAUGACAUGAUGUUUAUGUGACGUGAUGAUCGUGGACACAUACAUAAGAUACGAUAGGUGACAUUGAGAGAUUACGGUUCCUUUCUCAUCAUCUCUUAUCACUGAACUAUCAAUAACUAUAGUCUUGUGAAAAUGUAGACAGAGAUGGGAAGUGUUUAGUUCUCUUUGUAGAUCAAUAUUUGAUAUAGAUGUUUUUGCUCCACACAAACUCAUCUGCCACUAAGGCCAACAAGAGAGUUCCAGGUCACCAGCUCCAAAAUGGCACCAUAGUACAUUCUGAUAACCAUCCUACUUUAUUAAGAUCAAAGAAUGAUCAGGUGAUUCAACUAAUCUUAUCCAAGGCUAGCUAAUAAAAGGCCUAGGGAUUAAGUAUAAAAAAGAAACUCAUUAACUCAAGCUAAGAGGGGGGACUUUCUACGUACUAACCUAGUUAUACAACUUACACCACUAUCUUUUCCCUUUCGCUGACUUAAGCAUCGGAAGGGAUGCGUUGGGCAACUCCCAAUACUGGCCUAUCAUGCAAGAUUGCUAAUGGCCAAGAGACGACAUCACUCUUAGGAUGCAGCCAUGCAACCACGAGACAAUCCUUCAUUCGAGGACACAUGGAUGACCCAACCCCAGGGAAGAACGUCGCAACCAAGAAGACUCCAAACCCCCUACCCGAUCAUCCCGAAUCGGGUCCUCACCAAUAGAACGAUGUCUGAUCGGACCGCCUAUGUUGUCUCACUCAUCGGGUCACCCACAUCAGUCAAGAAAAGGCACCUGGGUAAACUUGCACCUUCGAUAGUGGAUCAACCGUGUUGAGUUAUUAGUCGAUGGUACUCAUGACACCAUCAAUAUCCUUAUAAUAUUUGAAUAUGAGGAUGGUGAUCCUACAUAGAUAGAGAAUUUUUUAGAUGACUUUGAAAGGUGUGUAAUAAAAUCUAAUAUAUCUUAUUUGAUUUCAAUCCCGAUAUUAAAAUUAAUAUAUAGCAUAUAAUAUAUUUUAUGCUUGGAACUUGCUAUGUGUCCUCUUUCCCUCUUCUUUCUACCCUUUACAUCUCUCUACAAUAAUCAUUAUUACAAUCCAAAAGCUAACCGUAAAUUAAGCAAAAGAGGUAAAUGGAACAAAAAACCACUUUUGGGACCCUGCCCUGUUUCUAUGUUGUCCCAAAAAGCCAAGUACCUAAAAAGCUUUUUCUUUGUCUCUAGAAUAGCUAAACAUGGCCAAAUUAAGUUGAGAUUUUGGCAGCAGAGAAGAGCGGAACAUAACUAAAACUUGUGCAAAACCAAGUGAAGAAUUGGUAAAUGAGUGCUUAUAUUUUACCUUGAUUUAAAGUAUCGAUGCUGAACCCACAUCUUGCCAAUGAAGUAUAAUGAAUUCAACCUCAAUCGUAAAGUAAGAACAGGAGGUAAAAGAAUGAACGCCAACCAUGGCCAUUUGCAAAGGAGAUGAUCAAACGAAUCCUUGCGUGCUAGGAGAUUGGAGGUGGGUUAAGCCAACACCAUCAUCCACAUACCCAAUAAUUACGCUCAGGUUAGAUAAGAUUCCAUGAGAAACUCACAUGCCUCAUUACGGUUAACUUGUUAGAUUUACCACUUCGUUUGGAUCAGAAGAUAAAUCCAUCCAGUAGAUAACAAGGAUUUGAAGCCCUUGCUCUGUGUAUGUAAUCUCUAGUGUGUUGUCAGAUCUAAGUCGAGGAAGAUAAAAGACACGAGAUGUAUGAGUUGAUAUAUCAUAUGCUUAAGAAAGUUCAAAAUAAUUUCUCAUGAUUUUCCAUUAGAUUAUUGUGGAAUUCCAAGUCGUAGACAAAGCAUGUACCUUUUGGAGUUCUUCGUACGUACACAAUAUCUUGUGACAGACAUCUUUAUUAAGAUCUUUGGUUAUUUGCAGACAAAAGAUAAGUACUGCACAGACGAAGGAUCAUAAGCACACUUCGUUAACCCAAGAAACCUGACUGAUUUGUACUCAUGUAAAGACUGAUCAUAAAGUAAGCAUUCUAAACCGUGCACUGAGAUGGAGCAUUGUGGUGAUGAGAUUAAACUGACUAACCCAGAAUUAAAAAGUAAAGAUUUAAUUUCUACAAUGAAAAUGAUGGAAGAGGUGCUAAUAACUUGUGAAAUGUGUAUGCUUUGAUAUGCAUUUGAUGGAGUUGUGUGCAUGCAUCAAAACCAAAUUUCAGUUGUCAGAUAUCAUUACUGAUUUGUUGGUAAUUAGUUCCACAAAUUGUUAUACCAGCUUGGGAAAAGAAUCUGUACAUGUCAUAACAUGUUAGAACAAUAAACACCAUGAUCUUAUAAAAGAAAAGUACUCGUUCUUUAAUCCUAUGUGGAAGGUCUCAUAAAAAACUUGAACAAUUUUAUGAAAAAACUUCACAUUUUAUUUUUUUAAAAAAAAUUGUAAAUAUUUUUCCCUUUUUUUUUUUCCGAACAUGAGCAUAUUGAUCCAAAAUGGUGCACUAAUCUAAAUAGAUAGAUUUGAUCAUUUAAGGCUGGGAGUCCAUUUAGAUGAUUUAUAAUAUUUAUAAAUAGAUUUUAUAGUAUUUUUGUUGUGAUGAUCGAAACAUUAUAAAAGGUUAAACAUUAUAGGCUUGUAAUUAGUUUGAUUGAGGUUUAGUUUAUUUAUGGUAUGCUUUACAAUAUUUUUCAUGGCUAAUAAAAACAUUAUAAUAAACUAAUUUUUUACUCCUAUUUGGAUGAUAUUAUUAUUAAAUUAUUAUAAAUACAUAGUAUGAUAUAUCAAAUUAUUUCUAGUGUGUUUGGAUUUCUCAGUUAUAGUAUUUUUAAAUAACGUUAUAGUGUUUUUGUAAGGUGUAAAGCCAUUGAAAAAUAGUAUUUUUCAAUUGUUCAUCUUUGAUUAUCAUUGAUCGUAGAUCAUUACAGCCUAUAGUUGGUUUGACCGAGUCCAUUUGGGUCAUUUAUAAUAUUUUUAUUAUUAUGAUCAAAAUACUAUAAAAAUUAAUUUUUGAUCCUCAGUAAUGAUCAUGCUACUGUACAAAACCAAUCAAUCAACUUGGAUUCACACACCUAUAGAUCGGUCUAAAAGGUAUCCAUGAAAUUAGCGGGAAAAAUAUCAUUGAGACCGGUAAGAGAUACUUUCGGUAUUAUUCAAAAUAGAAGGGAGAAACAUGAGACAUAAUUUAGAAUAAUAAUAAUAAUAAUAAUAAUAAUAAUAAUAAUAAUAAUAAUAAUAAUAAUAAUAAUAAUAAUAAUAAUAAUAAUAAUAAAAGAGAGCUUUUGCUGACAAACAAAUUCCUUGAUUUGUGCGCUGUAGUUGUAGGGUCAUUUAGACUUUGCAGCAUCAGAGAGUUCCCCUCUUCCCAACUCCUGUUUACUUAACAAUGAGCAUGAAUAUACGCCUACGACCAAAAAUUCCAUUUGGCGCCCGCAAAAUAUGGCUGCAGAAACUAAAUCCGGUGAAGAAAUGAAUGCCAUUUGCCCUUCACUUGCAUCUCAUAGGAGCAAAAGAAGGGGAAAAGAAUCUGGGCAUAAAAUCUAGUUAGCUAGAGUUUGGAUGCUUUCAUCUCAAGAAAUCUCUCUUUUUAUAUUUUCUUAAAGUUCAGUAGAUUCAAUGUAGAAGGCAUUGCAAUUUUCUACCUGUUUCUUCCUUUCUAUCUUUUCUUUUGGAAAAACAAAAGGAUGGCCAGAAUAUGCACAUUUUGGUUAUAUAUUCUCAACAAUGAUGAGAAUAAGAACAAUGAUAUGACUGCAGACAGGACCAAUAUCUAUGUUUUCAGAAAAUACAACCGAUAAGUCGUCAAAUGAACAGCAGUGCUGUGUGCAUUAGUCUUUAUAAAGUAUAAAUUCCACAUCAUACUUCACUUGAUCUCCAUCAAUAUGGUGGAAACAAAUUUAAAAGAAAGUUCAGUUUGAUAUGAUGUAAAACAAGAUAUCUCAUUCUUUGUUUGAUCUAAUUACAAAAAGUUAUGCUCAGAUCUAUAUCAUUUCUUAGUCUAGAGUAUAUUUGAACACACAACAAUAACAUUAAUUGCAAGCCAUAAUGAGCAGAUGUUGCCAAUCAGAAAUCUUAAAUUCGGGAAGCAGGGAUGAUACCGCAUUACCAACAAAACCUGAUAAUAACGAUUAAAAAUAAAUUGAUCUUGUUUAGCAAGCAAUUUUAGAGGGCAUAAAAUCCUAGAACAUAUAUAGUUCUACAAGUUGAAAGGAUCUCAGUCCUUUUAGAGACAAAAUCCCCCACAAAAAGUAUCAAGCCUUGCAAACAGCAUCAGUCUUUUCCUACUGAAAGAACCUGACCCUAUCCAGCAGCUAGUUCUGAGGCAGUACAGUACAUGUAUAAUUCUUCGCUGAUAACGACUCAAGCCUUUGUUAGGAAAACAUCUCUACGAUGAUCAACAUGCGAUAGGGUGCAAGUCAUCUAAAACUUCUCUUGAUCCCGAUAACUCAACAGGAGUAAGCAGUGCUUCAGUUUAAUUUAACCAAGUACCUACCUGCCAGAGACACUGCUGUUAAUUCUCCAAGGCCAAUAAUGUAUGAAUACCUAAGAAAAAGCACAAUGCAAAAGAUUGGAACUAGGACACAUACAACAUUUACUGGAGAUUAGCAUGCUACAAUACCUCAGGGAAGUUAUAUUGACGUAUUUGUCCAGAGACAACAAAACAACAAAGUCUUAAGAAAAGGAACACACCAAAAUAUUAAAAAUCGGACGAAUGGCUGAGACUAUCAUGCUAUACUACAACAGAAUAGCAUAUAUAAGAAUCUGGAGAACCAAGGGCUGGAAUCAAAUUUGAGAUUACAUGUUGCCAUUAGGCAAUAUAUUUAGAGAUGCCCUAUUGUCACAUUGAAGCACAAGUUUGUAACAUAAAAACAACCUGCAUAAUUUGACAUAUUAACUAGACUUCCAGAUCACAUUUUUGUUUGAUAGCUAUUACAGCUUUGACAAAAAUAAGACACCGAACAAAGGAUGCAAAAGAAACAUAUAGUAGCAAAAGCCAAAAAUGUUGAAAUGUGGAUUUUCAUAGUACAUAAACCAGUAUAACUACAUAUCAUAAAUAUAACCAAAGAUUCUAACGGUUAGAAAUAUCUUGACUUCAGUCUGACUGUGGGUAAAAUACAUUUCAGGAAGGCUGAAAUUGGUGUCAUCUGACAGCGGACAAAAUACAUUUUGGGAAGGGGGAAAUUGGCCUACAAGAAGUCAGCAAGUCUCAUUUCUCUUUCAUUACCUGAAGGCUGGCAAUGGUUGAAUUCUCCCUAGCAAAGUAACUCCUAGAAUUAUAUUUCCUUUUCCAAUUUGUUCAACAUAUCCUUACUAAUGUAAUCAAACUAGCACACUGCAGAUGCCAACCUCUGGAAGGUAACACAUACUAAAAGAGCAAUUUCCAAGAACCUUGUUAAUCCACUUCUUUUGCACCAAACACUCUGCAAAUGGAGCUAACACCCCAAGUAUUUUUUAUUGAUAAGAACAAUUUAUGAUCGAUACAAGACAACCUCUGGACAGUAACACCUACUAAAAUAUCAAUUUCCUAGAUCACUGCUAAUCCGCUUCUUUUGCACCAAACACCCUGCAUAUGGAGCUAACAAUCAAGUACUUUUGAUUGAUAAGAACAUUUUAUGCACUGAACACUCAAUAUGACCCAACCCAAAAAAUGAGAGGAUCGCACCCUCCGGAAAUUUAUGAUCCCGACAUCUGUAACGCACAGAGCACAAUAAUAAUAUUCAUUGACAAUAACUGAAAAUACAUCCCAUCAAGUGUCAUCAUUAUUACUGGAGUAAACAUCUAACUAUACUUUUAUUAAAUAUCAUAUAACAAUCUUCACCUUGCUAGAAUCGAACACUUCUCAAUCCAUAGUUCCCCAGCUACGGAUCAUCUGAAAUAUGUAAUUUUCAGAUCGAUAGGGAUUAUCUUAGUAGAAACAAGAUGUCAAGAAAUCUAGUUGUCUCAUGCAAUCAGCAAAAGAUAAGAAUAAUAAUGAAAAAAGAGUAUAACUUAGAAUAAAAGAUCUCACAAAUUCAUCAUGAGAAAAGCACAUCCAUUAGUGCACUUUGCUGCAUCGGAACUCGUCCGACUGCUCAGGAUGAAGCAACCUCCUUAUAGACUAAAUUCAUAUCACAUUCCCUGCUAUUAGUCCAUUACUAGGAUCAAGUGGUGCCCGGCAACAGUAGAAAUACGUCUUUCUAUGGAUGCAAGGAAUAUCUUAUAAGCUUCUAUGACGACUACUAAUCCCUUUCAAAAUUGCCUACUAAUCAUGACAAUGUUGUUCAAUCAUCCAUAUAUGUAUAUAUCAACAUGCUGCACAACCAUGCAACAACAUCCUUUCACAUGCUCAAGCGUCCAACUUAUGCAUCAUGGCACUUCUAACAAAUAUUAAUUAUAGGCUACAAUAGAGGCAUCAAUAUAAAAUUGAUUGCCAAAAGAAAUAUGAUCUAAUAACAGCAUAUUAAAAUUUCAUCAUGUCAGCAUAAAGAGAAUCUAGGUUUUAUGAGGCACCUAACACUAUAUUGAUCAUCCAAAUUGGAUACAGAGUCCAAAAAAGUUAUUAUUGAUUUACAAUUCAGUCCUCAAAAUUUACAAUCAUUUCUUCAAUACAUUGCAAACCAGUCCCUAGCAGUCUUAAUGGGCAGGACCUUAGGCAGCCACGUGGAACUUGGUCUCACAGGCAGGACCACAUGGAGUUGGCCUGUCUGAGCUGAAGUGCAUGAAGUUUAGACCACCCCCGUACUCAAAUGCUUAAAUUGGUAAAGGACAACUUGUACAUUCCAGUGCUUAAAUUGAGAACAAAACAUUGGCAAUACGGAAAGUGUGGUUUCCUUCAUAAAUCUAAGAGUUUCAACUUCAUUCUCAAGAAGACGGUCAGCUUCAAACUAUCAUGGUGGAAACCUGGUAUUCAUUAAGGUUUUGCAUUUAUAAAGAGAGAAAUUUCAACUGAAUUGACCGAUCAGCAAGAAGAAAGAAGUGGUUCAAACUAAUCACUUAAGAAAGAGAACAAAAUUUGAUAAACAAAAUAUACAAAAAAUUGAAACCCAACCUCAUUUCCCUUUUUUGGGUUUCGGGUUUGGUUUUGGAAUGGAGGGACUUUAGUAAAUUUAUAUAAAAGGUGACCAACCCUUGCCCUAAAUCAAAAGCCUCAUCAUCCAGCUCAAAAUCACCAAAGCAUCCAACCAUACCAUCCAAAAGAAUCCUACUUCUUAUCAUUUGAAAAAAUUAACCAAAACUCGAAACCUAAAUUACCAAAUAUCCGAAGUCAAAUCAAUUCAAAACUUCAGGUGUCCAAUAACCUACAUAAGUCUGAUAUCUUCCAGUAGACUUAAAACAAAUAGGACAAGAAUAACAAUUCUAUGUGGCGUCUACACAAGUGAUUAUAAACAAGCAAUUAACUCUAUCGGCAAUUUCAUCACAAAUCUUCUCAACAUUCUUCAUUUUCUUACUACGUGUAAGCAUCCAAACUCAUAUUACAUUCACAGAAACGAAGUAAAUGGCAGGAAUUAUUUGGUCGCAAACUGUAGAUCAUGUUAUGCGGAUAGUGGAAAAUUGGAACCUGGAAACAUAACUUGCUGGUACAAAAGCUUGUGCUAUGCAUUAUGCAUUUCCACGAUCAAAUGCAGUGAUGUUUUUGGGGACUCCAUUAUACAACUCAAUGAGUUCUGGAUACUCCUUGUAGCGGUUGACGAACUUCUCCACAAAUUUCUUCUCUGAAUAUUUCACGUAUGUAGACAUACUAAGGUUACUGAUGCAAACUCCCCUAGACUUCAGGCCUGUCACAAUCUGAUGCCUUGGCAUCAACCUUUUCUCCAAACUGCACAACAAAAUAUCUGGCCGAAGUGCAAUAUGAGAUGGAGCACAUCCGGCUUCAUUUACCAAGAACUCCAACUUCCUCUGCAAACUCUUUAAAGAAAUUUGCACAAACGUAGGAGCCUUUCUGAAUGCAGCAAGGAAAUCAUCCUCGGACCACCCGAAGCCCUCGAAGAACUCCAAGUGAGCCUUGAAGUUAUUCUCGGAGACGUUGUGGAGCACAGUCAGGGUCAAGGGGAACAUCCCUGAGGUGCAAGCUACUCCCAAACCCUCGGCACGACUGAUUAACGCCUUCAGGGUUUCAGCAUUCCGGGUUAUGAGGAGAGGAUAUUGCCUUAGGAUCAUUGAGAGCUUCUGAUCCGUCAUCCCGCAAUCCCUUAGAAUUUCAAUGUUAGGCUGGAUCGUCUUCUCGAUGCUAUACCCGAGAAACCUCCUGUUUUUCUUGCACAAGUUCAUCAGUAAGUCGUUGGACCCGAGGAGGCCUUGCCAUAAUUGGAUCUUGGACAAGAUGGUCUGGGAUUUGUCGCUGAUGACGUCGUUAUUCGAUCUGACGAGGUGGGUGAUGUCGGAGCAGGAGAAGCCCAGAUCCUGCAAAGCUCGGAACUUUGGGGCCAGGGUCUUCUCCACGUCGAGGAGAAGCCACCGGGGGUUUGCAGAUAUGACCUUUUUCACCUGGGUGUUGUCAAAACCGUAGCUUUUAAAAAAGCCAAGGACGGAGUCAGGCUGGUGGCGGGAUUCGACGCGACCAAGGAGCUUCGAGGCUUUGGCCGCCUGAUCAGGAUGGAAGCCACAGUAGCUGACCAGGUAUUCAGCCAUAAGGCUGCUCUCUGGAGCACCGGAGGCGGCGGAAUAAGAAUGGGUUGCGAGAAAAAGGGCAGCAUCGGCCGGACGACAGCAAGGGACGAAUGCAAGGGCUUUGGACAAGAGAGAGACGUAGGGCGACCUAUUCAUCAAUGUCAUCGUCUUCUUCUUCUUCUUCUUCUUCUUUGUAGGUUCCUUCUCUUUACCAAAACCUAGCGAAGGUGGCGUAGCUGCGUAUAGAGGAGCGCGUUUUGGCCGGAAGUACCUGCGUCUUAAACCCUAGAAGUGCGUUACCGUGUUCGACAUUUUUUUUUUCUGGCGGAGAUUACUGCGACCGCAGGAGUCUUUUUUUUCUUUGUCAACUUUUAGUUUGUUGAGGGGAGAAACAACUUUUAUUGCGUGCCAACUAAAGAUAAUAAAAGGUGUUCUUUUAGAAAAAAUUUGCACUAUUAUUUUUUUAUCUAGGGUUUAUUUUUUAUAGUUAGAACAAAAAUAUACCCUUAAUCUUCUAUUAAAAAUGACUUGAUCAGCUAUUAAAAAAUUGAUAUCAAAAAUUUUUAAAAAAAUAUAAAAAGCUAUGCUAAUCAUUUUAAAAUCAAUAGAUAUGCAUCGAAGAUGAUUAAUAUCUAUUUUUAUUUUAAAAAUUUUUAUAAUUAAUUAUCAAAUUAUAAUUUAUUUAAAUAAUAUCUAUGAUUAAGUCACAUAAGUUAAAAUAUAAGAGUGUUUUUUGUCUAAAUAAAAAUACCUAAAUAAAAAUGAAUAUGGAGGGUUUCAUCGAUAAGAAAACUAAUACUAUAAAUUAUUUUUUUAUAAAAGACCCGACAUACAUGAAUGAAUGCUAGAAAACAACUAAUCCAUCAUAAAAUUUGAUGAACUAAUACAUAUGUAUUCUAAUUAUCAAGUUAAAGUCAACAAUAAAAAAUUCAUGUAAUCUUUAAUGCCAUCAUAACCAUCAACUAUUUAUGAUGUGAAUGGCAAAACCGCUCAUUGUUCACUUAAGAAUCUACUCAUUAGAUUUUCACUAGAUAGAGAACAGACAACAACUCGUAAACAUGUCAACUAUCUUACUAGAAACAUACACUAUCUAUGAAACAAUGCCCAAGGCAACUUCUAUCUAGAAAUUAAUAAUAAUUAGAUGAUCAUGUUCACACUCAAAAUAGAAAGUCAUUCAUCCUAUAAUCAUUAACUUAUUAUAUCCAUACCAAGAUUAAGAAAGUAUCCCGAUGAUUAACAUUGAUUUAGAUUCGAUUAUAUUUGAUUUAACAUAUUGACAAAUAUUGUAAUUGGUAUAUAUAUCCUUCGACGGAAUCAAAUAAUUUGGGUAAUAUAUCUCACGGCUAAUUCUCACUCUUUAUUAUUUUUCAAUAUCGAAAAAUUAUUCUGUCAGUUUAAGGGAUAUAUACUUGAUCUAGCUAGCUCUUUAUACAAAGUAACUCAAAAUCUCUUUUCAAUUUAUCAUCUCAAAAUUAUUAGAAUACAUGACUCUUUAUAAUUGAAUAAGAUAUAUAAUAAAAUUAAUUAGAUUUUAAUGACGAAUAUUAGUCAAUAGAAAGAAAUAUCAAAAUAUGUGCCAAGUGAGAGAAUAUCUUAUAAAUUAAUGGGCUAAGUGAGAGAAUAUCAAAUAUGUGACCCUUUAUAAUUGAAUAAGAUAUAUAAUAAAACUAAUUAGAUUAUGAUAAUGGAUAUUAGCCAAUAGAAAGAAAGUUUAUAUUAUAGUAUGAUUCCUUAGGGGGUGCCCUUGAUGGGAGGAACUCUCUUAAUUAUUUAUCAUAGACUCUCUACUCUCGUCUAUAAAUAGAUGGGACCUCAUAGGGACUAAUGACAUGAUGUUUAUAUGAUGUAAUGGUCAUGAACACAUACACGAGAUACAAUAUGUGACAAUGAGAGAUUACGAUUCCUUUCUCAUCCUCUCUUGUCUCUGAACCAUUAAUAACUAUAAUCUUGUGAAAAGGUAGAAAGAGAUGAGGAGUGUUUAGUUCUCCUUGUAGAUCGACAUUUGAUAUAAACGAUUUUGCCCCACACAAACUCAUCUACCACUAAGGCCAACACCUAUGGAGAGUUUCAGGUCAUUAGCUUCGAAAUGGCACCAUAGUGUCGAUAACCAUCCUACUUUAUUAAGAUCAAAGAAUAAUCAGGUGAUUUUGCUAAUCUUAUCCAAGGCCAACCAAUAAAAGGCCUAGGGAUCAAGUAUAAAAAGGAACUCAUUAACUCACGCUGAGAGGGGGGACUCUCUAUACACUAACCUAGUCAUACAGCUUACACUACUAUCUUUCCCCUUUCACUGACUUAAGCAUCGGAAGGAAUGCGUUGGGCAACCCCUAAUGCUGGCCUAUCAUGCAAGAUUGCUGACGGUCAAGUGAUGAUCGGACCCAAUCCUUGUCAAUAGAACCUCGUAAUCUUUAAUGCCAUCAUAACCAUCAACUAUUUAUGAUGUGAAUGGCAAAACUGCUCAUUGUUCACUUAAGAAUCUACUCAAUAGAUUUUCACUAGAUAGAGAACAGACAACGACUCGUAAACAUGUCAACUAUCUUACUAGAAACAUACACUAUCUAUGAAACAAUGCCCAAGGCAACUUCUAUCUAGAAAUUAAUAAUAAUUAGAUGAUCAUGUUCACACUAAAAAUAGAAAGUCAUUCAUCCUAUUAUCAUUAACUUAUUAUAUCCAUACCAAGAUUAAGAAAGUAUCCUGAUGAUUAACUUUGAUUUAGAAUCGAUUAUAUUUGAUUUAACAUAUUGACAAACAUUGUAAUUGGUAUAUAUAUCCUUCGACGGAAUCAAAUAAUUUGGGUAAUAUAUCUCACGGCUAAUUCUCACUCUUUAUUAUUUUUCAAUAUCGAAAAAUUAUUCUGUCAGUUUAAGGGAUAUAUACUUGAUCUAGCUAGCUCUUUAUACAAAGUAACUCAAAAUCUCUUUUCAAUUUAUCAUCUCAAAAUUAUUAGAAUACAUGACUCUUUAUAAUUGAAUAAGAUAUAUAAUAAAAUUAAUUAGAUUUUGAUGAAAACUAUUAGUCAAUAGAAAGGAAUAUCAAAAUACGUGCUAAGUGGGAGAAUAUCUUAUAAAUUAAUGGGCCGCCUCCGGUGCUCCAGAGAGCAGCCUUAUGGUUAAUAAAAACACUAUACGUGCUAAGUGGGAAAUUCCUAUGAUGGCUAAUAAAAACACUAUAAUAAACUAAUUUUACUCUUAUUUGGAUGAUAUUAUUGUUAAAUUAUUUUAAAUAUAUGAUAUAUCAAAUGGUUUGUAGUAUGUUUGGAUUUCUCAGUUAUAGUAUUUUUUAAAUAACAUUAUAGUGUUUUUAUAAGGUGUAAAGCAAUUGAAAAAUCUUUGAUUAUCGUUGAUCGUAAAUGUGUAGUUAGUUUGACUGAAUCUAUUCGGGUUAUUUAUAAUAUUUUUAUUAUGAUAAUCAAAAUACUAUAAAAAUUAAUUUUUGAUUCUCAUUUUGAUGACCAAACUAUUGUGUAAAUCAUAUAAAUCAGAUCAUGCUACUGUACAAACCAAUCCAUCAACUUGGAUUCAAACACCGAUAUAUCGGUCUAUAAGGUAUCUAUGAAACUAGUGGGAAAAAUAUCAUUGAGGCUGGUAAGAAAUACUUUCAGUAUUAUUCAAAAUAGAAGGUAUCAUUUGAGAAAUAUGAGACAUCUUUUAGGAAAAUAAUAAUAAAAAAAGUGAGACAUCUUCGAAAUCACCCGAAAACUUUUGCUCACUUGUUUACUAGGGUCUUCUAGACUUUGCAGCAUCAAGAGAGUUCCUCUCCUCCGAACUCCUGUUUACCUAACAUCUCUACGAUGAUCAACAUGCGUUAGGGUGCAAGUCAACUAAAACUUCCCUUGAUCCCGAUAACUCAACAAGAGUAAGCAGUGCUUCAGUUUAAUUUGACCAAGUACGUGCCUGCCAGAGACACUGCAGUUAAUUCUACAAGGCCAAUAAUGUAUGAAUACAUAAGAAAAAGCUCAACGCAAAAGAUUGGAAGAUUAUUUUGAUGUAUUUGUACAGAGAAAACAAUACAACAAAGUCUUUAGAAAAGGAACACACCAAAAGAUUAAAAAUAGGACGAAUGGCUGAGACUAGCAUGCUAUACUAUAUAAGAAUCUGGAGAACCAAGGGUGGAAUCAAAUUCGAGAUUACAUGUUGCUAUUAGGCAAUAAAUUUAGAGAUGCUCUAUUGUCACAUUGAAGCACAAGUUUGUAACAUAAAAAACAACCUGCAUAAUUUGACAUAUUAACUAGACUUCCAGAUCAACUUUUUGUUUGAUAGCUAUUACAGCUUUGACAAAAAUAAGACACCGAACAAAGGAUGCAAAAGAAACAUAUAGUAGCAAAAGCCAAAAAAGUUGAAAUGUGGAUUUUCAUAGUACAUAAACCAGUAUAACUACAUAUCAUAAAUAUAACCAAAGAUUCUAACUGUUAGAAAUAUCUUGACUUCAGUCUGAGUGUGGGUAAAAAACAUUUCAAGAAGGCUGAAAUUGGUGUCAUCUGACAGCGGACAAAAUACAUUUUGGGAAGGGAGAAAUUGGCCUACAAGAAGUCAGCAAGUCUCAUUUCUCUUUCAUUACCUGAAGGCCGGCAAUGGUUGAAUUCUCCCUAGCAAAGUAACUCCUAGAAUUAUAUUUCCUUUUCCAAUUUGUUCAACAUAUACUUACUAAUGUAAUCAAACUAGCACACUGCAGAUGCCAACCUCUGGAAGGUAACACAUACUAAAAGAGCAAUUUCCAAGAACCUUGUUAAUCCACUUCUUUUGCACCAAACACUCCGCAAAUGGAGCUAACACCCCAAGUAUUUUUUAUUGAUAAGAACAAUUUAUGAUCGAUACAAGACAACCUCUGGACAGUAACACCUACUAAAAUAUCAAUUUCCAAGAUCACUGCUAAUCCACUUCUUUUGCACCAAACACCCUGUAAAUGGAGCUAACAAUCAAGCACUUUUGAUUGAUAAGAACAUUUUAUGCACCGAACACUCAAUAUGACCCAACCAAAAAAAUGAGAGGAUCGCACCCUCCGUAAACUUAUGAUCCAGACAUCUGUAACGCACAGAGCACAAUAAUA